rnacentral:tRNA from 1 species
GCAUCUUUAGCUCAGUGGUAGAGCGCUGGUCUCGUAAAUUAGCGGUCGUGAGUUCAAUCCUCACAGGAGGCA